GCCCCGUUAGCUCAUACCGGUAGAGCAGCUGACUUGUAAUCAGCAGGUGAUCCGUUCGAUUCGGAUACGGGGCUCCA
rnacentral:tRNA from 1 species